rnacentral:rRNA from 1 species
GGUGACGAGCGGCGGACGGGUGAGUAAUGCCUAGGGAUCUGCCCAGUCGAGGGGGAUAACAGUUGGAAACGACUGCUAAUACCGCAUACGCCCUACGGGGGAAAGGAGGGGACCUUCGGGCCUUCCGCGAUUGGAUGAACCUAGGUGGGAUUAGCUAGUUGGUGAGGUAAUGGCUCACCAAGGCGACGAUCCCUAGCUGUUCUGAGAGGAUGAUCAGCCACACUGGGACUGAGACACGGCCCAGACUCCUACGGGAGGCAGCAGUGGGGAAUAUUGCACAAUGGGGGAAACCCUGAUGCAGCCAUGCCGCGUGUGUGAAGAAGGCCUUCGGGUUGUAAAGCACUUUCAGUAGGGAGGAAAGGUAAUAGUUUAAUAAACUAUUACUGUGACGUUACCUACA